rnacentral:misc_RNA from 1 species
GCAACAUUUGCCAUACAACAAACUGUGUAACUGCUUUGAUAACUUGCAACAACAAACAAUAUAUGAUCAUCUUGAUUUCACAUCUUCAAAAUGUUGUACAACUUCGUAUGUUUUACUAACGAAAAAUAAGAUAAUCGACUUUUACAAGAAAGAAAGAAACGAAACAAGUUCAAAAGAAAUCAAAUUCGAGAUAGUUAUCAGACUUUUGCUGGUAUUGAACAGUUACAGCCACGGGUUUCUCACUAGUUGAUGAUGGCUGCUGUGCUGAGAAUCUCUCGAAUUCAACAGGUCUUGGGAUCUCAGGAGGGCUUGCACAACGAAUCAAAGCCCAGUUUACACCUUCGAAAAAUGGAUGCUGCUUGAUUUCUGUAGCUCCUCUUUUGUAUGCCAAUCGAUUUUGUGGCUCUUUCACGAGCAAGCCUCGUAUAAGAUCUCUAGCUGAAAAACUUACCACUGGAGAUUCUGGAAAACGGAGGGGCUGACCUACAACAUUGAAAAGUGUAGCUCGGUUUCCUGAUCCCUUGAAGGGUGUCUUACCAAACAGUAACUCGUAAAGAAAGAUACCAAAGGUCCACCAGUCCACUGCACUCCCAUGUCCUUCACCUUUGAUUAUUUCAGGUGCUAAAUACUCGUGUGUCCCAACGAAAGACAUCGAACGUGCUCCAGUAGGCUCAGCCAUAAGUUCAGGUAAUGGGCUAACUUGGUUCCCUGUAUCAUUUUUAGAUUUUUUUUCUUUCUUCGACUUACUAGAAAAGAAGCGAGGCCCAAAACAGGAUGUAGUAACAGCACAUGAUGGCUGGAUACAAGAGGGCUCAAUGCAUGUUGGCUGCACACAGUAACCGGAAUUCUUCCGGAGUGGCUCCACAUCAAUAGACGACAACUUGACAAGUGUUGGACUCACAGCACAACGAAGGGAGAGAUCAAAAUCAGAUAGCAUUAUGUGUCCAUCUUCUCUAACAAGCACAUUUUCUGGCUUGAGAUCGCGAUAAACAAUGCCAAGCAUGUGAAGGUAUUCCAGGGAAAGGAGCACUUCUGCUACGUAGAAUUUCACCGCUUGUUCUGAAAAAUGCUUCCCUGGUUGUCUUUGUCUGAGUGUGUGCAGGUCUCCUCCUGGGCAGAACUCCAUCACUAGACAUGAGAACUUUUCUGUUUCAAAAUGGCUAUAUAAUGUUGGGAGAAAUGGAUGGUCCAGGGACUGCAAAAUCUCUCUUUCUGUCUGUGCACGAAGCAAUUUCUUACGACUAGCUAACGACGCCUUAUCCAUAACUUUCAUGGCAAAAUAACACUUUGUUCCACACAGCUCCGACAGAUAGACACUUCCAAUAUCACCACUUCCCAACUUCUUCAGCAACCGGAAGUGCCUCAAAUCCAAUGCCCCAUCUUUAGUCCGGAUAGCUUGAAUGGCUUCCCAUC